rnacentral:rRNA from 1 species
UACGUAGGGUCCGAGCGUUGUCCGGAAUUAUUGGGCGUAAAGGGCUCGUAGGCGGUUUGUCGCGUCGGGAGUGAAAACUCAGGGCUCAACCCUGAGCGUGCUUCCGAUGACGGGCAGACUAGAGGUAUGCAGGGGAGAACGGAAUUCCUGGUGUAGCGGUGGAAUGCGCAGAUAUCAGGAGGAACACCGGUGGCGAAGGCGGUUCGUCUGGGCAUGAUCUGACGCUGAGGAGCGAAAGUGUGGGGAGCGAACAGG